UGUUUUACUUCUACACUUGUUUCCAUAUUUAUUUGUUUCUACAUUUGACACGAAGACUUUUUAGAUAUAAACUACGCUGGGGAUUCAGAAUCAGGCAACACGGUCCCCACCUGCCUGGGAUGACGACAGGUGACUCCAUCAUCCUCGGGUGCAGGUGGUGGGGAGAACUUCUACUGUUGGGCAGCACGGAAGUCCCCUUCGGGGCAGAGGGCACAAGAAUGAGCACAGAGGCCACAGGUGAAGUCGGGAGAGCUAGUGACAAGCCCAGGCUCUGGACCAAAGCCAUGCCUGCCUGGGGACAGAACUUCCCCACUCUUCCUGCAGCUGUAAGCAGGUCGCCUCCUUUCUUUCUGUCCCCAGGCUUUCACCUGUGGUAGAGGUGACGGCAGCACAGCCCGCUCCAUGGAGCUUUGCUGUCGACCACACACAUGA
rnacentral:lncRNA from 1 species